AACGAACGCUGGCGGCAGGCUUAACACAUGCAAAUCGAGCGCCCCGCAAGGGGAGCGGCAGACGGGUGAGUAACGCGUGGGAAUCUACCCAUCUCUACGGAAUAACGCAUGGAAACGUGUGCUAAUACCGUAUACGUCCUUCGGGAGAAAGAUUUAUCGGAGAUGGAUGAGCCCGCGUUGGAUUAGCUAGUUGGUGGGGUAAAGGCCUACCAAGGCGACGAUCCAUAGCUGGUCUGAGAGGAUGAUCAGCCACACUGGGACUGAGACACGGCCCAGACUCCUACGGGAGGCAGCAGUGGGGAAUAUUGGACAAUGGGCGCAAGCCUGAUCCAGCCGUGCCGCGUGAGUGAUGAAGGCCCUAGGGUUGUAAAGCUCUUUCACCGGUGAAGAUAAUGACGGUAACCGGAGAAGAAGCCCCGGCUAACUUCGUGCCAGCCGCCGCGGUAAGAC
rnacentral:rRNA from 1 species